rnacentral:rRNA from 1 species
GACGAACGCUGGCGGCGUGCCUAAUACAUGCAAGUCGAGCGAAUCAAUAGGAGCUUGCUCCUGUUGGUUAGCGGCGGACGGGUGAGUAACACGUGGGCAACCUGCCUGUAAGACUGGGAUAACUUCGGGAAACCGGAGCUAAUACCGGAUAAUCCUUUUCCACUCAUGUGGGAAAGCUGAAAGUCGGUUUCGGCUGACACUUACAGAUGGGCCCGCGGCGCAUUAGCUAGUUGGUGAGGUAACGGCUCACCAAGGCGACGAUGCGUAGCCGACAUGAGAGGGUGAUCGGCCACACUGAGAUGGAGAAACGGCCCAGACUCCGACGGGAGGCAGCAAUAGGGAAUCUGCCGCAAUGGACGAAAGUCUGACGGAGCAACGCCGCGUUAGCGAUGAAGGCCCUCGGGUCGUAAAGCUCUGUUGUUAGGGAAGAAUAAGUAUCGGAGUAACUGCCGGUACCUUGACGGUACCUAACCAGAAAGCCACGGCUAACUACGUGCCAGCAGCCGCGGUAA